rnacentral:lncRNA from 1 species
GCUGCUUUGUAAAUUAAAUAUGAACAGACUGGUGCGCUCACACUCCAAGCGUCCCUCCCUCUCCCCUACUCCUGCCGUCGCUACGGGCGGCCCAGCGGGCUGAGACCAUCGCAUCUUGCUCAGCCCCAGUUCAGAACACAGAACUUCACACCGCCUGCUCGGGCCUGGAGUCCCCCCCCGCCGACCCAUGGGGAGGGCGCAAGGCGCCUUUCAGGGAAGGUGUCUUCGAAAAUGGUCGAGGGGUGAGAGCACUGUGACCCGUCCCUGCCGGGGAUCCUGUGGUGGGACAGCCAGGAUUGGGUCCCUAGCCCGGGGGAGGCAGAAUCUGGGUAAUGGAAGGGAGAAUGGGCUCGCUAUCUGCCCAGAGCUUCCCUGGACUGCAGGAACCCGUCCUAUAAGCAACCCCGAAACUUCGGGGCCCGAGGACCAGGGAAGACCCCCUUUCCUUGCUGUCUUGACAGGGUUGCAGAAGCCAAGGAGUUCGGCAGGGAGACGGGGCUCCUGGGGUGGUUAAGGACGCGGUGACCACCCCUGGGCGGGAGCUGACUCCCGCGGGCCCGGAGGCUCUAGCUCACUCUACAGCAAAUGCUUUUGUUCCCGGAGGCUGCCCUGGGGGAAAGACGCCCCUUACCCCUGCCUUCGACCCUGGAGAGCCCAGUGCCCGCCCGGGCAGGGCUGGAGCCCGAGUCGCCCCAGGCAGAGUCCGCCGAGGCCUGGGGUGGGAGCCGCGACUUCUGGAUCUGCCUCCGAGCUCAGCUAGAAGACUGCGCGCACCUCGUCCGGCGCCGUCCGGCGCGCAGAAGCGGGUCUAAUGUUUAUAACGUUAAUAAUGACAGUUAGGGAGGGCUGUGGAGCCGGGAACCAAGACCUCAUCCCGCCGCCGCCCACGUCUUUGAUCAUUAAAGAAACAGACAACUAAUCAGGGCCCAAGCCUGGUCCGCGCGCGCCCCCUGCUGGAAGCCGCUUGCCGGGCGCAGAGGCGGGUCAACGGCAGAGGGUGCUGGCUGGGCGAGGAAGAUGUGGCUGGAACCCUGCACCAAGGCGACCGCUGCUCACGGCUCUGCAGUCCCGCGGCGCGAUACGCCAGUGGGGCGCGCUUAACCAAAGUCCCGAGGCUUUACUUCCCGUGCCCACCCAGUCUAUGUCCCAGGUAUCAGCAACCUCUGGUCCACUACACAACACAGGCGCUGUCCCUACUUCGCGCUGCGUAGUUUCCAGUGCCCAGGGCGUCUCCUAAUUCUUGAGCGACUAGUCCCUGGCACAAAACCUUCCUAUACACCUCUCCCACUCUCCCUUCUCUCUGAGUCUUAUGACUUUGUCAGGGGCCUAUUAAAAUAAAUGUCUGAGAUCUGGAAAAAAAAAUCUGUUGGCGCUAACAGGGGCAAAGAAAACUGCAAAAUUGGAAGUAAUCGAUGUUUGAUUGAAUGUUUAAGACAUGCGACAUUGUGCAAACGAUUCUGUUGCAACUGCACUCAGAGUUGUACUUGCCCUUGUAUUUUAAUGUGGCACGCGGAGGAUUUAAUGGACUUGCCUAAAGAUGUGGGAAGGGCCUCUGAGAAUAAGAAAGCCGGGGCCCAGAUGGGCAUCAAACAUCCCCAGCAUAGCAGCCGGUUAAGGCUGCGGAGACCUUCCCCAAGGCUGCCCUCCAGUCAGAAGCCCCUGAACACUCACUACUUCCCAUCUUUCAGCUUCUGCGCGCACAGACACACACACACACACACACACACACACACACACACACACACACACACACACACACAAAUGUUCUCUCCAGCCCCACACCCUCAAGAAGCUGCUUUCCUUUUCUAAUUUCCAGUCGAAAGAUCACUCCUCAGGGAAGCCAGGCCCUGUUUAUACUCCCUCCUCCGGCCUUUCCUUGUACAGGUUCUAUGUAGUCGUCAGGCGGGCAGGUCCUAGCGUCAGACUCCAUUAUGUACUGACUGUGUGUCCUUAGCCAAGCUAUUUAACCUCUCUGUGCCUCAAGAAAAAAAGGCAUAAAUAAGAGUACUGACCAGGCGCGGUGGCUCACACCUGUAAUAAUCCCAGCACUUUGGGAGGCCCAGGCGGGCGGAUCACAAGGUCAGGAGUUCGAGACCAGCCUGACCAACAUGGUGAAACCUCGUCUCUGCUAAAAAUACAAAAAUUAGCCGGGCGUGGUGGUGCAUGCCUGUAAUCCCAGCUACUCAGGAGGCUGAGGCAGGAGAAUCUCGGGAGGCAGAGGUUGCAGUGAGCCGAGAUAGUGCCACUGCAUUCCGGCCUGGGCGACAGAGCGAGACUCUGUCUC